rnacentral:rRNA from 1 species
AUUGAACGCUGGCGGCAGGCCUAACACAUGCAAGUCGAGCGGAUGAAGGGAGCUUGCUCCUGGAUUCAGCGGCGGACGGGUGAGUAAUGCCUAGGAAUCUGCCUGGUAGUGGGGGAUAACGUCCGGAAACGGGCGCUAAUACCGCAUACGUCCUGAGGGAGAAAGUGGGGGAUCUUCGGACCUCACGCUAUCAGAUGAGCCUAGGUCGGAUUAGCUAGUUGGUGGGGUAAAGGCCUACCAAGGCGACGAUCCGUAACUGGUCUGAGAGGAUGAUCAGUCACACUGGAACUGAGACACGGUCCAGACUCCUACGGGAGGCAGCAGUGGGGAAUAUUGGACAAUGGGCGAAAGCCUGAUCCAGCCAUGCCGCGUGUGUGAAGAAGGUCUUCGGAUUGUAUAGCACUUUAAGUUGGGAGGAAGGGCAGUAAGUUAAUACCUUGCUGUUUUGACGUUACCAACAGAAUAAGCACCGGCUAACUUCGUG